UACGUAGGGGGCAAGCGUUGUCCGGAAUCAUUGGGCGUAAAGCGCGUGUAGGCGGCCAGAAAAGUCCGCUGUGAAAACUCGAGGCUCAACCUCGAGACGUCGGUUGAAACCGUAUGGCUAGAGUCCGGAAGAGGAGAGUGGAAUUCCCGGUGUAGCGGUGAAAUGCGCAGAUAUCGGGAAGAACACCCAUGGCGAAGGCAGCUCUCUGGGACGGUACUGACGCUGAGACGCGAAAGCGUGGGGAGCGAACAGG
rnacentral:rRNA from 1 species